GAGGGUAUAGCUCAGUGGUAGAGUGUGUGCUUAGCAUGCACAAGGUCCUGGGUUCAAUCCCCAAUAUCGCCA
rnacentral:tRNA from 1 species